rnacentral:rRNA from 1 species
AAAUUGAAGAGUUUGAUCAUGGCUCAGAUUGAACGCUGGCGGCAGGCCUAACACAUGCAAGUCGAACGGUAGCACAGAGAGCUUGCUCUCGGGUGACGAGUGGCGGACGGGUGAGUAAUGUCUGGGAAACUGCCUGAUGGAGGGGGAUAACUACUGGAAACGGUAGCUAAUACCGCAUAACGUCGCAAGACCAAAGAGGGGGACCUUCGGGCCUCUUGCCAUCAGAUGUGCCCAGAUGGGAUUAGCUAGUAGGUGGGGUAACGGCUCACCUAGGCGACGAUCCCUAGCUGGUCUGAGAGGAUGACCAGCCACACUGGAACUGAGACACGGUCCAGACUCCUACGGGAGGCAGCAGUGGGGAAUAUUGCACAAUGGGCGCAAGCCUGAUGCAGCCAUGCCGCGUGUAUGAAGAAGGCCUUCGGGUUGUAAAGUACUUUCAGCGGGGAGGAAGGCGAUAAGGUUAAUAACCUUGUCGAUUGACGUUACCCGCAGAAGAAGCACCGGCUAACUCCGUGCCAGCAGCCGCGGUAAUACGGAGGGUGCAAGCGUUAAUCGGAAUUACUGGGCGUAAAGCGCACGCAGGCGGUCUGUCAAGUCGGAUGUGAAAUCCCCGGGCUCAACCUGGGAACUGCAUUCGAAACUGGCAGGCUAGAGUCUUGUAGAGGGGGGUAGAAUUCCAGGUGUAGCGGUGAAAUGCGUAGAGAUCUGGAGGAAUACCGGUGGCGAAGGCGGCCCCCUGGACAAAGACUGACGCUCAGGUGCGAAAGCGUGGGGAGCAAACAGGAUUAGAUACCCUGGUAGUCCACGCCGUAAACGAUGUCGACUUGGAGGUUGUGCCCUUGAGGCGUGGCUUCCGGAGCUAACGCGUUAAGUCGACCGCCUGGGGAGUACGGCCGCAAGGUUAAAACUCAAAUGAAUUGACGGGGGCCCGCACAAGCGGUGGAGCAUGUGGUUUAAUUCGAUGCAACGCGAAGAACCUUACCUACUCUUGACAUCCAGAGAACUUAGCAGAGAUGCUUUGGUGCCUUCGGGAACUCUGAGACAGGUGCUGCAUGGCUGUCGUCAGCUCGUGUUGUGAAAUGUUGGGUUAAGUCCCGCAACGAGCGCAACCCUUAUCCUUUGUUGCCAGCGGUUAGGCCGGGAACUCAAAGGAGACUGCCAGUGAUAAACUGGAGGAAGGUGGGGAUGACGUCAAGUCAUCAUGGCCCUUACGAGUAGGGCUACACACGUGCUACAAUGGCGCAUACAAAGAGAAGCGACCUCGCGAGAGCAAGCGGACCUCAUAAAGUGCGUCGUAGUCCGGAUUGGAGUCUGCAACUCGACUCCAUGAAGUCGGAAUCGCUAGUAAUCGUAGAUCAGAAUGCUACGGUGAAUACGUUCCCGGGCCUUGUACACACCGCCCGUCACACCAUGGGAGUGGGUUGCAAAAGAAGUAGGUAGCUUAACCUUCGGGAGGGCGCUUACCACUUUGUGAUUCAUGACUGGGGUGAAGUCGUAACAAGGUAACCGUAGGGGAACCUGCGGUUGGAUCACCUCCUUACCUUAAAGAA